rnacentral:rRNA from 1 species
GACGAACGCUGGCGGCGUGCCUAAUACAUGCAAGUCGAGCGCAGGAAAUCGACGGAACCCUUCGGGGGGAAGUCGACGGAAUGAGCGGCGGACGGGUGAGUAACACGUAAAGAACCUGCCCUCAGGUCUGGGAUAACCACGAGAAAUCGGGGCUAAUACCGGAUGGGUCAUCGGACCGCAUGGUCCGAGGAUGAAAGGCGCUUCGGCGUCGCCUGGGGAUGGCUUUGCGGUGCAUUAGCUAGUUGGUGGGGUAAUGGCCCACCAAGGCGACGAUGCAUAGCCGACCUGAGAGGGUGAUCGGCCACACUGGGACUGAGACACGGCCCAGACUCCUACGGGAGGCAGCAGUAGGGAAUCUUCCACAAUGGACGAAAGUCUGAUGGAGCAAUGCCGCGUGAACGAUGAAGGCCUUCGGGUCGUAAAGUUCUGUUGUAAGGGAAGAACAAGUGCCGCAGGCAAUGGCGGCACCUUGACGGUACCUUGCGAGAAAGCCACGGCUAACUACGUGCCAGCCGCCGCCUAA